GGAGCCUAAUUGACCAAGAAAAAACAGUGUCAAAUAUAUAGUGGCAUUUAAUAUCUAAUAACCAGCAACAAAACAUAUCAUUACUAACAACUAACUUAAAUUUUUUUGUUAACAUCCAUCACUUAAAUUCAAUUCUGCUGGAAGACUAAAAUGUACUUCAUAUCCUUUUUCAAACACCAUGGCUUGCAUAUUCAUGAUUUGACUAUAGCACUGAAUGUCUUCAGGAUCAUCAGUCCUGACGGGAAAAUAAACAAAUACCAUUAACUAAAACCAUGAAUGUAAAUAUUACCCACAGAAAAUCAAAUACUUAUAUGUAUUUUUUAUGUGAGGUAGCACCUCUCUGCUGUACGUUUUCUGGGGUAAGUAGAGAGGCUUUUUCACAUGGUCUUUUCAUUGCAUUCCUUCCAUUAGAUCAACAAAAGGCACUGGCUUCCACCACCUUUCGGUCCAAAGAACCUGCAAACUUCCCCUGAGGCAAAGGGAGCUUCUAGCAUGUUUUGUUGUAGAAGGAAGCCUAGAAAUGCAAAAAGGAUAGCAGAUGACCAAAAAAUAAUUUCUUUCAUCUUGUUGUUCAUGGGCAGAGAAACAUAUUUCUGCACCCCUCCCCAACCAUCUAAAAGAGAACAUUGUGCCAGAGAAAGAAACCGAAAAAGAAGCAAAAGAAAGGGGGAUUGCGGGCAUGAUAUUUAGCAGCUAUCUUCACCACAAUCUGAAACUCAAAAUGAAGAGGCCCUGUACUCCAUGCAAUUCAGGAACGUGGUUCUUCAGAUUACAUUUGGACAAAAGAUGGGGCAAUUUAUAUGCUAACUGAUAACAACCAUGCUUCCCCUACCACUGACUAAUUUUCACAAAUUAAUAAACCAUAUUAAGUGAUUGAAUUACUAUUUCCGACACUGAUAGCAUCUCAACUCAAAACUCUUGAAAGCUUUUGGUUCCCCAAAAAAAAUCUGUUUCCGUUAAUUCAACAAUAUUUCAUCUCAUGUGAUCUCAGUUAAACUUGACCACAAAGAAAACUGGUCAAGCAUCUUACCAACUCUUCCGAAACAGAGAUUGCAAGGAUCUAUGUUACGACAAGGUGACCAUCUCUGCAGGCUCUUACGGCAUUCAAAUGAGACUAAAAUCAAAUGUGAACCCAUUACAGAACUUGCAACUUAUAUCAUCCAAAAUAGGUCAAGAGCCUUACUUCUUGGGUUCAUUGUGGGCAGCACCAAGCAUGGAGCAGAUCUGGAACAAUGUAAAGGUGCAGAUACGGAUAGCUUCAAUCUGACCGGGCAGGCGGACUGAACCUGGUAUGCUAAAGCUGCCCUGUGAUAACACCUAAACACAAUAAUAAAAGGAAAAGAGGAAUAAAGGAAAAUAGCAUGCUAUGGAAAAAGGUUAAGAAUUAAGGAUUUACAAUUUUUGAUAAAUGAAUUGGUAUUCUAUGUAAGAUCAAUAUAUAUUAUUCCAUAAUUAUUUAUGAAAUGUUCCAAUCACCUUUGAAUAGGUUUUUCAUUAAUUUUUUAAGGUAGUCACAUUCACAUGUUAAAUACUAUUAAGGCUCACAUACAACACACAUACACACUCAAAUAUACAAGAUGGAAUGGGAAAUAUUUUGAAGGAAAAAAAAUGCACAAUUAAAUAUUUUAUAGAAUAGUCAAUUUUCAACCAACAAUCAGGAGGGAGAGAAUAAAGGUAUAAACUGUUAUUGAGUAACACCAUUUCAGUUGCAUAUAUAAAUUUGAAGCUCACUAAACUGAUUUAUAAAAAUUUCUCCGUGCAUUUGCUUCUAGAACUGAAAUCUCAAAUCCCAAUCAGUUCCAUGUCAUUCUUAACUUCUUAUGAACCAUCAACAAGUAAGAGAUAAGACAACUUACAUUCCACUUUGAUGAAGAUAUCUUGCGAGGAAAACACCAUUAUGUUUCUAGUUCUACUAUCCUUGACAAUAUGACUUCUAUCUUCAACUACUCUUCCCAAGCUCCAUAUAGUCUGGUACAUAUCCAAAUGAUCUCAACAAUUUUGUCAAACCCCUCAAGGUUCCAUAUAUUAACUCGCUCUCAGGCAGCCUCUCAUCUAGAGAAUAAAACUCAAAAACACCAUCAUUGACCUCAAUCAAACUGCAACCUGGUAAUUUUCUGAACCCAGUAUCUCUUAUUGCAACUUUUAAUCGUGCAACAUCUUUCCAUCUUCCAAGAUCACCAUAUAUAUUAGAAAGCAUCACAUAGUUUGCAGGGUUCUUUGGCUCAAAUUUGAUGAGUUUUUCAAGUGCUAGUUCUGCCAAUUCAACAUUUUUGUAAACCCUACACGCCCCAAGCAAGGCAGCCCAAAUAACAGCAUCUGCUUCCAUAGGCAUCUUUUUAACAAAAUCCACAGCCUGAACUAAAAGCCCAGCUCUUGCAAGCAGAUCAACCAUACAACCAUAGUGCUCUAUUUGAGGCACAAUUGAAUAAUCAUCAAUCAUUGAUUGAAAAUACGCAAAGCCAUCUUCAAUCAAACCCAUGUGUGUGCAAGCACACAAAACACCCAAGAAGGUGAUUCCAUCUGGCUUUUCUCCAGCAUUUUUCAUUUGAGAAAACAACCUUAAAGCAUCUGCCCCACGCCCAUGCACUGCUAGGCCACCAAUCAUGGUAUUCCAGCUAAUCACAUCUUUCAUAUGCAUGCCUUUAAACACAUCAAUUGCAUUUUCUAGAAUCCCACAUUUUGCAUACAUGUCAACCAAAGCAUUCUCAACAUAUACAUUUCCUUUAUAUCCGUUACUCUCAGCGUACACAUGCACCCACUUACCCAAAUCGACAGCACCCAAUCUUGCACAUGCAGACAACACAGUCACAAGUGUGGCAUCAGUAGGAACCACAUUACCAUCAACUAACAUCUUCUUAAAUGAACUUAAUACUUCAAAAAAACGCCCAUCGCGUGCAUAACCUCCUAUCAAUCCAUUCCAUGAAAAGACAUUCCUUUCCGGCAUCUCUUCAAACAGUCUUUCACAAGCUUCAACAUCACCUUUGUUGGCAUAACCACUCAAAAUCGUGUUCCAAGACAUAACGUCCUUGUUCGGCAUCCUAUUGAAAAGCUCGCGUGCUCUUGCCAUAUCCCCUAUCUCAAUAUAACCCGUAAUCACAGUGUUCCAUAACACAACAUCACGUUCAGGGGCCAAAUCAAAAAGGCAACGUGCAGUUUCUAUAUCAUUACAAAAUAUGAAACCACGAAUCAUGGAAGUCCAAGCAACCACAUUUCUUUCUAGCAUCUCACCAAACACUCUAUAAGCCUCCCCUAUCACUCCUCUGCUAGAAUACAAAUCAAUCAACAUAGUACCCAUGUAUGGGUUGGCUCUAAAUCCACUCUUUAUCACAAAACAAUGCAAUUGUUCACCUUCUCUGAAUGCAUUAAUCUUUACACAAGAUUUAAGAACCAUUGGGAAAGUGAAGCAGUUAGGCAUUAUAUCCAUUCUCUUCAUUUGGCUAUACAAGACAAUAACUUCCCAAUGAAAUUCGUUUUGGGCAUAGCCUUUAAACAUUGCAUUCCAACUGGAGAGAUUUGGAUAAGGAAUUCGAUCGAACAUUUUGUGGGCAUAAUCCAUUUUCUUAAGCAAAGCAGAAGCUGAGAGAAUUCUUGGAACUAUAUAGUCAUUGUAUUCAAAGCCAUGGGUGAUAAUCUGGGAUUGGAUUUGAUGAAGGUGCUUGAGGGACUUACAUGACUGUAAGAGUGAUAUGAACGUCUCUUCAAGAAGUCUGUGAGGUAACUUUGGGGCUAAACUUGGAGCAAUUUUUGCCACUUUCUAGCAGUAAAAAUGUUGCUCGGCAAAGUCUAGUUCAGCGUUUCACAAGCUCAGACGAAAAUCCAACUUGCGUACAUUCAGAGAUCAGUAUACCUGAUAAAGACAACAGAGUUUGGGGAUUUUGGGAAAUGGAAGAAGUAGACGUUGGACGCUAUCAAUUCCCUAACUGCUCAAAUACGGAUUUGUCUGAAAAC
rnacentral:misc_RNA from 1 species